rnacentral:rRNA from 1 species
UACGGGGGGGGCAAGCGUUGUUCGGAAUUACUGGGCGUAAAGGGCUCGUAGGCGGCCAACUAAGUCGGACGUGAAAUCCCUCGGCUUAACCGGGGAACUGCGUCCGAUACUGAAUGGCUUGAGUUCGGGAGAGGGAUGCGGAAUUCCAGGUGUAGCGGUGAAAUGCGUAGAUAUCUGGAGGAACACCGGUGGCGAAGGCGGCAUCCUGGACCGAGAUUGACACUGAUGAGCGAAAGCUAGGGGAGCAAACGGG